GUUACAUGCAUAGACUGCUUAGUGGUGAAGUCAGAGUCCCAGCGAGACAAAGUCUUGGUUUAUCUCCCAGGCUGGAGUGCAGUGGCGCCAUCUCGGCUUACUGCAACCUCCACCUCCGGGGUUCAAGCAAUUCUCCUGCCUCAGCCUCCAGAGUAGCUAGGAUUACAGGCGCAUGCCACCAUGUCCAGGUUCAAAUCACGAAAAGACUCCAAGAAUGCCCAAGAGAACUCCUGAGAAGCAAUCCAGUUUCACUGGAGAAAUAUAUUGACUGACCUGCUGGACUGGAGCUAAAGCUGACACAACUUGUCCUGGGGGUGGGGUAAAGGUGGAUUUGCCUUUCACAUGUAAACGAGUUAUAGGAGAAAUAGAAAGAAAUGCAGCCAUGCUUAUUGUCUAUUAGCAGGAUCAUCUAUUAAAAACCACGUUUUGAAGAGAAAAUUAAGAUCUUAGAUGUGUAAGUUGUAAUAAGUCUCUACUAUGGCAGAGAGAGAAAGUGUCCUGAUUCCUAGCCCAAACAAAUGUCCAUAUGAACAGCCUUUCUGUCCAUAAAAAAUUGAGUCUUAUUGAGCACUAUGUACUAGGCAGCACCUUAAAUAUUUUCUGCUAGAUAGAUGUAUAUAAUUUUUUACAGCUUUUCAUUCUAACUAUAUAAAAAAUACCAUUUAAUAAAAAGUUUUCUCCAAAAAUGUAUUAAUAUGCAAUGGAAAGUUAUUUAAUAAAGCUGUGGUAAAUGGAAAGGACAUGUUCUAGUGGUCCUCUGAGGUGAUAAUGGUAGGCAUAUGAGAAUUGCUUCUAUUAAAUUUUGUAUAUUGUACUCAUUAAUAAAUACUACUAUGAUUUUUAAAAAUCAGGUGAAAAUAACAAGGUAUCCAAUGACUCGUUGUUAUAGUUAUCAUUUCCUUCA
rnacentral:lncRNA from 10 species